rnacentral:snoRNA from 1 species
ACGACCUUACUUGAACAGGAUCUGUUUAGGCUCGUACCGCUGCAUCCUUUACCAACAAGGAGGCAAGCACUUCAGUCUGAUUGAUGCAAUCUGACCACUGGGCCAGAGCGUGAUUAACGGCCUGGAUUGAUUUGACGGCUGUAGAGGAUCGUUCCUGCCUGGAUACAGGUA